CACGAAACUUGCCCCGAGAUGAGUUCUCCCUGACUCCUUGAGAGUCCUGAAGGAACGUUGAAGACGACGACGUUGAUAGGCCGGGUGUGUAAGCGCAGCGAUGCGUUGAGCUAACCGGUACUAAUGAACCGUGAGGCUUAACCUU
rnacentral:rRNA from 1 species